UCAGGACGAACGUUGGCGGCGUGCUUAACACAUGCAAGUCGAACGGGGACUUCGGUCCUAGUGGCGAACGGGUGAGUAAAGUGCAAAUAACCUGCCUCAAAGAUGGGGACAACAGCUCGAAAGGGUUGCUAAUACCGAAUGUUGUAUAGAAAGGGCAUCCUGAUUAUACUAAAGAUUUAUCGCUUUGAGAGGGGUUUGCAUCCGAUUAGGCAGUUGGCGGGGUAAAAGCCCACCAACCGACGAUCGGUAACCGGUCUGAGAGGAUGAACGGUCACAUUGGAACUGAGACACGGUCCAGACUCCUACGGGAGGCAGCAGUGGGGAAUAUUCCACAAUGGAGGGAACUCUGAUGGAGCGACGCCGCGUGAGUGAAGAAGGGUUUAGGCUCGUAAAGCUCUUUUCUUGCAGAUGAAUGACUUAUUAGAUAAGUAGGGACAGUAUGUAAGGAAUAAGCCACGGCUAACUACGUGCCAGCCGCGGC
rnacentral:rRNA from 1 species